rnacentral:rRNA from 1 species
GACGAACGCCGGCGGCGUGCCUAAUACAUGCAAGUCGAACGCAUUUUCUUUCACCGUAGCUUGCUACACCGAAAGAAAAUGAGUGGCGAACGGGUGAGUAACACGUGGGCAACCUGCCCAUCAGCGGGGGAUAACACUUGGAAACAGGUGCUAAUACCGCAUAAUUCCAUUUACCGCAUGGUAGGGGGAUGAAAGGCGCUUUUGCGUCACUGAUGGAUGGACCCGCGGUGCAUUAGCUAGUUGGUGGGGUAACGGCCUACCAAGGCUGCGAUGCAUAGCCGACCGGAGAGGGUGAUCGGCCACACUGGGACUGAGACACGGCCCAGACUCCUACGGGAGGCAGCAGUAGGGAAUCUUCGGCAAUGGACGCAAGUCUGACCGAGCAACGCCGCGUGAGUGAAGAAGGGUUUCGGAUCGUAAAACUCUGUUGUUAGAGAAGAACAAGGAUGAGAGUGGAAAGUUCAUCCCUUGACGGUAUCUAACCAGAAAGCCACGGCUAACUACGUG